rnacentral:rRNA from 1 species
UACGAAGGGGGCUAGCGUUGCUCGGAAUCACUGGGCGUAAAGCGCACGUAGGCGGAUUGUUAAGUCAGGGGUGAAAUCCUGGAGCUCAACUCCAGAACUGCCUUUGAUACUGGCGAUCUUGAGUCCGGGAGAGGUGAGUGGAACUGCGAGUGUAGAGGUGAAAUUCGUAGAUAUUCGCAAGAACACCAGUGGCGAAGGCGGCUCACUGGACCGGUUCUGACGCUGAGGCGCGAAAGCGUGGGGAGCAAACGGG